rnacentral:lncRNA from 1 species
CCCACAGACACACCUACUCCUACAAAGCCACACCUCCACCGAGACCCUUCCUUCUCUGGAGGUCGUUUAGGUGGUAAUGUGAUGUCACCUCAGGACUUAGGCAGAACAGGCUUGGGUGGGUUAUGCAUGGAGGCAGAGAUUCCUUGUUUUGAAUCUAAGCGGGGCUUUUGUGAUGGCUUUGGUGUUCUCUGCAGAACUCCCUCUCUCCCUCUCUCUUUUUUAACCAGAACAGUUCUGUAGGCAUUACUUAUGGUCAAAUCAAUGGUUUUUCCAGUAAGGGCUCAUUAAUCAGUUGCUAAGCCGCCACAAAUUACAAGGGAGAAGGAAAACAUCUCCGCAGAGAGGGAAAAAGAUGCUGAGGAGGCCAGGAGAGGGCAUUGGAACCCCUGAACCUGGAAUUACAAAGGAUUCAUUGUGAGUCUAUCUGAAGGGGUACUUAGAAUGCAGCAGUCCCUCUGUGAAAUCAGUCCACGUUCUUAACUGCUGAGCCGUCUCUCCAGCCUCCAUGUGUUUAUUUAUGUGACCUCGUCAUCAGAAUGGCCUUUGCCAUCUGUUUCUAUCGACAUUCUGUUCAUAUUACUUACGUAUUCUCCAAGAAGAUGCAAGAUCUCAGCUGGGUGUGGGGACUCGUGCUUGGAAGCCCAACACUUGGAAGGUAGAGGCAGGAGACUCAGAAGUUCAAGGUCAAGGUUGACCUGGGCUAGAGGAGUUCCUGUUUCAAAAAUCAAAAACACAAAACAAAACU